rnacentral:rRNA from 1 species
GACGAACGCUGGCGGCGUGCUUAACACAUGCAAGUCGAACGAAGUGGCGAACGGGUGAGUAACGCGUAAUAAACCUGCCCUUCAGAGGGGGACAACAGUUGGAAACGACUGCUAAUACCGCAUACUGAAGGAUGGGAAUGCGUAUGAUUAGAUAGUUGGAGGGGUAACGGCCCACCAAGGGGAUGAUCAGUAACCGGUCUGAUAGUAGGAACGGCCACAUUGGGACUGAGACACGGCCCAGACGCAUACGGGAGGCAGCAGUGGGGAAUCUUCCGCAAUGGACGAAAGUCUGACGUAGCAACGCUGCGGGAGUGAUGACGGCCUUCGGGUUGUAAAGCUCUGUUAAUCGGGACGCGGUACCGGAAUAGAAAGCCACGGCUAACUACGUGCCAGCAGCCGCAGUAAUUC